CAGACCAAGGGUCUGACUGGAAAAUUUGAAUGUGGGAUUAAUAUUGUGUUCCUUAGAGGGUUAUUCCUAGCCUCGGGUAACAUAAUUAUUCCUGAGAUCCACAACACUACAAAGUCCUCACUUCUCUGUACAUUAAAUCCUUCGUUGCUGAAACAGCUUCUUACCAGGAAUUCUCAUCUCAAACCCAUGUACAAAACUCAUAGAAGUAAGAAGAAAAAAAAUCUCAUCUCUAAAAAAAUAACUGAGUGUUCAUCUUCUCCGUCUUAAAAAUGUCAAUUAUGGACAUUUGUUUUGCAGCAUCUGGCACAAUAUGUUACUUCU